rnacentral:tRNA from 1 species
GGCCGCAUGGCCCAAUGGCAAGGCGCUUGACUACGAUACGUAGAAUAUCAAGAGAUUCCAGGUUCGACCCCUGGUGUGGUCA